rnacentral:lncRNA from 1 species
UCUAGACACAGCCACAACACAGUCCUUUCUGCUGGUCCCAAACUUGUCAAGCACAUGUCGGCAGGUGUUCAGGAGCUCUCUCAGGUCUCUCUGAAGUGGCUCAAUAGCUAGACGAGCACUUGAGUCCCAAUGUACAAAGUGAUUUUGCUCUCUGAAGGCUGGGCCGUUCCACUUUUGGGUUCUUCAUAGUCAUGUGCCACUGAGAAUUUCCUAGGACGGUCCUCAUGCAAUAAAAAUGUCACACAGCAUCUGCCCCUCCAGCUGGCUGCACCACUUCCAGGGCUGGCUUCCUGUCACCUUCUGCCAUGGAUGUCUUCAAUCCAGUUACGUUCUGACUGACUUCUGAGUGAUAACGAUGCAGUCUUGUAUUGGUGUCAGCUGACAUCACACAGCGAGUUGGCCCACGUUCUCACUCUUCCCAUUUUCCAGAAGUGCUGAGUGCCUCUUGCAAUGAGCACAUGAAGAAGGAAUGAAGUGAAAAGAGUGAAGAACUUGAUUUGUCUAUGAGUCUUCCUCCCUAUUUGAAAUGGGACCUUCAGUCAUGAAAAUCUUCUAGGAUAAAUUCUUAAACAUCACUGAAUAUGUUUCUGAGAUCGUAGG